rnacentral:rRNA from 1 species
CGCUGGCGGCGUGCUUAACACAUGCAAGUCGAACGGAAAGGCCCUGCUUUUGUGGGGUGCUCGAGUGGCGAACGGGUGAGUAACACGUGAGUAACCUGCCCUUGACUUUGGGAUAACUUCAGGAAACUGGGGCUAAUACCGGAUAGGAGCUCCUGCUGCAUGGUGGGGGUUGGAAAGUUUCGGCGGUUGGGGAUGGACUCGCGGCUUAUCAGCUUGUUGGUGGGGUAGUGGCUUACCAAGGCUUUGACGGGUAGCCGGCCUGAGAGGGUGACCGGCCACAUUGGGACUGAGAUACGGCCCAGACUCCUACGGGAGGCAGCAGUGGGGAAUAUUGCACAAUGGGCGGAAGCCUGAUGCAGCAACGCCGCGUGCGGGAUGACGGCCUUCGGGUUGUAAACCGCUUUCGCCUGUGACGAAGCGUGAGUGACGGUAAUGGGUAAAGAAGCACCGGCUAACUACGUGCCAGCAGCCGCGGUGAUACGUAGGGUGCGAGCGUUGUCCGGAUUUAUUGGGCGUAAAGGGCUCGUAGGUGGUUGAUCGCGUCGGAAGUGUAAUCUUGGGGCUUAACUCUGAGCGUGCUUUCGAUACGGGUUGACUUGAGGAAGGUAGGGGAGAAUGGAAUUCCCGGUGGAGCGGUGGAAUGCGCAGAUAUCAGGAGGAACACCAGUGGCGAAGGCGGUUCUCUGGGCCUUUCCUGACGCUGAGGAGCGAAAGCGUGGGGAGCGAACAGGCUUAGAUACCCUGGUAGUCCACGCUGUAAACGGUGGGUACUAGGUGUGGGGUCCAUUCCACGGGUUCCGUGCCGUAGCUAACGCUUUAAGUACCCCGCCUGGGGAGUACGGCCGCAAGGCUAAAACUCAAAGGAAUUGACGGGGCCCCGCACAAGCGGCGGAGCAUGCGGAUUAAUUCGAUGCAACGCGUAGAACCUUACCUGGGUUUGACAUGGAUCGGGAGUGCUCAGAGAUGGGUGUGCCUCUUUUGGGGUCGGUUCACAGGUGGUGCAUGGCUGUCGUCAGCUCGUGUCGUGAGAUGUUGGGUUAAGUCCCGCAACGAGCGCAACCCUUGUUCACUGUUGCCAGCACGUUAUGGUGGGGACUCAGUGGAGACCGCCGGGGUCAACUCGGAGGAAGGUGGGGAUGACGUCAAGUCAUCAUGCCCCUUAUGUCCAGGGCUUCACGCAUGCUACAAUGGCUGGUACAGAGAGUGGCGAGCCUGUGAGGGUGAGCGAAUCUCGGAAAGCCGGUCUCAGUUCGGAUUGGGGUCUGCAACUCGACCUCGUGAAGUCGGAGUCGCUAGUAAUCGCAGAUCAGCAACGCUGCGGUGAAUACGCUCCCGGGGCUUGUACACACCGCCCGUCAAGUCAUGAAAGUUGGUAACGCCCGAAGCCGGUGGCCUAACCGUUGUGGGGGAGCCGUCGAAGGUGGGACUGGUGAUUAGGGC